GUGCCAGCAGCCGCGGUAAUACGAAGGGGGCUAGCGUUGCUCGGAAUUACUGGGCGUAAAGGGAGCGUAGGCGGACAUUUAAGUCAGGGGUGAAAUCCCGGGGCUCAACCUCGGAAUUGCCUUUGAUACUGGGUGUCUUGAGUAUGAGAAAGGUGUGUGGAACUCCGAGUGUAGAGGUGAAAUUCGUAGAUAUUCGGAAGAACACCAGUGGCGAAGGCGACACACUGGCUCAUUACUGACGCUGAGGCUCGAAAGCGUGGGGAGCAAACAG
rnacentral:rRNA from 1 species